rnacentral:rRNA from 1 species
UACGUAGGGUGCGAGCGUUAAUCGGAAUUACUGGGCGUAAAGCGUGCGCAGGCGGUUCGUUGUGUCGGUGGUGAAAUCCCCGGGCUUAACCUGGGAAUGGCCAUGGAAACUGGCGAACUGGAGUGCGGCAGAGGGGGGUGGAAUUCCGCGUGUAGCAGUGAAAUGCGUAGAGAUGCGGAGGAACACCGAUGGCGAAGGCAGCCCCCUGGGUUAACACUGACGCUCAUGCACGAAAGCGUGGGGAGCAAACAGG